AGCUCAGUUGGUAGAGUACUUGCCUUGCAUGCAUAAGGCCCUGGGUUCAAUCCCCAG
rnacentral:tRNA from 1 species